rnacentral:rRNA from 1 species
CAGGUAGGUGGUCUGUUAAGUCUUCUGUGAAAACCCGGGGCUCAACCCCGCGGAAUGCAGGUGAAACUGGCAGACUUGAGACCGGUAGAGGCUAGCGGAAUUCCUGGUGUAGCGGUGGAAUGCGUAGAUAUCAGGAAGAACACCUGUGGCGAAGGCGGCUAGCUGGGCCGGUUCUGACACUAAACUGCGAAAGCGUGGGGAGCAAACA